ensembl:lncRNA novel transcript
AAGGAGGGACCUGUAGUCAAAAUGCACAAAUCUGAAGGAGGCCUUUGUGCACAGAAGCUGUCCUGCCUGUAAAUGUCCCCAGUCACCAGAUUAGUGCCAAUUUAUUUUCCAGUGAAGACACCAGGGGUCUGGGGGUGGGGUGGAGUUUGCAGGAGGGAGCAAAAAGGAAAAGGCAUACUUAGCACCAACCACAUGAGAGCCCUGCUCUGAAGUAACGGCCAAAUGAGCGUCCACUGAGUGUCUGCUGAUGGGCGUGUGCUGAUGCCUCCGUUAGAUGGGCAGGGUAAAAAGGAGGACAAGAAUGAAUACUUGGGUAUAAUCUGCUCUUGCUGUUGGAUGAGGAAGCUGAGACACAAUCACGGAAGAGCAAGAUUUAAAAGCCGGCAGUCUGACUCCUGAUCUCUCACUCAUCCACUACUGUAGACAGCCUUCUCUGUGUUUCAUUAGCACAUAACAAGAAUUCAUGCUCUCGGAGUACAAAGCAGGGUUUGUAAUAUCAAUAAAAGAGACACUUUCAUAGUGUUUUAGCUGAGUCUUGAGGAGAAAAGUAGAGUUUUAGUGAAGGAAGAAAGAAAGGCACUACAUGCUGAUUGUAUGUUUGAAGGCGCUGCUGUUAAGAGGUGAAGAUGCUGUUGUGGAAGAUGAAUCUGGGAUGGACUAAGGAUGGAACACUAACAUUUAAAGAAUGGAGGAAGAAAAGCA